rnacentral:lncRNA from 1 species
UUUCUUUGGUGUGGACAUCAAAAACUCAAGUAUCUACAGGGGCCAAGCAGGUCACCAAAAUGGGUGGUGCCCCUGGGUGGGGACGGGGUUGAACUGGAGAGCCACGUCCAGUCUUAAGUGAGCAGCGUGUUCGGCAACUGACAUGAGCUGAGCAGAGCAAAUAUGGUUGUCAGAGGUUCUGAUUUCUCUUCACUGGAAGAUUUGAAAGGCUAUCUAGUGAAUCAAUAUCUGAAAAUUCGGCUGUCCAAAAACAUCUGUCACCAUGGAUUGCCCAUACCUUGCAUCAAACUCCAAGCUGUGUUCAGAUGAAGGACAGUUGGCAUCAGUGAACUUUCUUUUUAUCCCUGCUUGCAACCCACUCCUGGUAGUCUGAGCUUGUCUAGGUUCUAAAUACUUUCUUACCUAUAAAUCACUGGACUAGUGUACUAUUCAUCAGGCUCUGGCUGUGCACAC